rnacentral:rRNA from 1 species
GGUCAGCCUGCCCACUGACAUAGUUUAACGGCCGCGGUACCCUAACCGUGCGAAGGUAGCAUAAUCACUUGUUCUUUAAAUAAGGACUUGUAUCAACGGCAUCACGAGGACUAUACUGUCUCCUUUCUCCAAUCAGUGAAACUGAUCUCCCCGUGAAGAAGCGGGGAUUAACCUAUAAGACGAGAAGACCCCAUGGAGCUUAAAGCUCACAGACACCUCUACGCACUUAAAUCAAUUUAGCCCAAGAGACCUGUAAGCCAGCUUUAGGUUGGGGGGACCGCGGAGAAUAACCUAACCUCCACGACAAACGGGCAAACGCCCUUAUCCAUGAAUUACAAUUCUAAGAAUCAAUAAACUGAUGUUUAAUGACCCGAUUAUUCGAUCAACGAACCAAGUUACCCUGGGGAUAACAGCGCAAUCUACUUUAAGAGCUCAUAUCGACAAGUAGGUUUACGACCUCGAUGUUGGAUCAGGGUAUCCCAGUGGUGCAGCCGCUACUAAAGGUUCGUUUGUUCAACGAUUAAAACCCUACGUGAUCUGUU